rnacentral:rRNA from 1 species
UACGGAGGGUGCAAGCGUUAAUCGGAAUUACUGGGCGUAAAGCGCACGCAGGUGGCUGAGUCAGUCGAUUGUGAAAGCCCUGGGCUUAACCUGGGAAUUGCAGUCGAUACUACUCGGCUCGAGUAUGGGAGAGGGCAGUGGAAUUGCCGGUGUAGUGGUGAAAUGCGUAGAGAUCGGCAGGAACACCCAGGGGGAAACCAGCCGACUGGGCAUCUGCUGACGCUGAGGUGCGAGAGCGUGGGGAGCGAACCGG